UACAGAGGGUGCGAGCGUUAUUCGGAAUUACUGGGCGUAAAGGGCGCGUAGGCGGUAUGUCAAGUCGGUCGUGAAAUCCCUCGGCUCAACUGAGGAUCGUCGAUCGAUACUGCCGUUCUUGAGGAUUGCAGAGGAGACUGGAAUUCCCGGUGUAGCGGUGAAAUGUGUAGAGAUCGGGAGGAACACCGGUGGCGAAGGCGGGUCUCUGGGCAAUUCCUGACGCUGAGGCGCGAAAGCGUGGGGAGCAAACAGG
rnacentral:rRNA from 1 species